AUGCUCGCUUCAGCAGCACGUAUACUAAAAUUGGAACGAUACAGAGAAGAUUAGCAUGGCCCCUGUGUAAGGAUGACACGUAAAUUCGUGAAGUGUUCCAUAAUUUU
rnacentral:snRNA from 1 species